rnacentral:tRNA from 1 species
GUUUUAUUAGUUUAAUUAAAAACGCUAGUUUUGUAAACUAGAAUUAGAAAAACACUAUAAAACU